rnacentral:rRNA from 1 species
UACGUAGGGUGCGAGCGUUAAUCGGAAUUACUGGGCGUAAAGCGCACGUAGGCGGCUCUUUAAGUCAGGGGUGAAAUCCUGGAGCUCAACUCCAGAACUGCCUUUGAUACUGAGGAUCUUGAGUUCGGGAGAGGUGAGUGGAACUGCGAGUGUAGAGGUGGAAUUCGUAGAUAUUCGCAAGAACACCAGUGGCGAAGGCGGCUCACUGGCCCGAUACUGACGCUGAGGCACGAAAGCGUGGGGAGCAAACAGG